UGGUUCAGUGCAUAAUGUUCUAGUAUCAUGGCAUGCCCAUUUAUUCCCAUUGCUGUAUCAACACUUGUUUUUACAAAUAGGGUUGGAGAGACGCCAACGAAACAGCACCCAUGCCUGCUCGCCUCUUAUGGCUGCCUCUCUGCCAAGAAAGGAGUUCGCACAAUCAGGUCGUUGAGCGCUCACAGAAGAAUCAUAUGGGCGAGCAGAGCUUCAUUUCCCACUGCUCAUGUAUUGUCUACACCUACCUCAAGGCCCACAAGCAGACCAGUUUCAACCAUGCGUGGGCCACCUGAUGCAGCAAUUUUGUGGUCUAGGCGGCAGCAGCACUGGACCUGCAACACGGCGCAUUUUAGGAAUCUUACUAAGCCAAGUGGCCGUGCAGUAUAGUUGGCUUGGCAUGAAGGGGAAAAAAGUUUUUCUGCAUUGCAAGAGGCUGACACAAUCACAAGGGCUGAAAUACAAAACUUUUCUACAUCAAAACGAUGUGAUGUAGAGAACAUAAUAAGGGGGUGGCUGCGCCACUCUGGAGAAAAACUGCGCAAACAGCAGGCCAGGGCUGGCACACCUGAAGGCUCACUUGAUGUGCACUCGGAUGUUUAGGAUUAGGUGCCUCAAAGUUCGAGUACAGAGCCCAAUUCCAAGAGGAACCACACUUUGUUGAAGAAAUAUUGUUGGCCUUUGUGAGGGCCACCACAGUUAGUCAUA
rnacentral:misc_RNA from 1 species